rnacentral:rRNA from 1 species
CCUACGGGAGGCUGCAGUGGGGAAUAUUGCACAAUGGGGGAAACCCUGAUGCAGCGACGCCGCGUGAGUGAAGAAGUAAUUCGUUAUGUAAAGCUCUAUCAGCAGGGAAGAAAAUGACGGUACCUGAGUACGAAGCCCCGGCUAACUACGUGCCAGCAGCCGCGGUAAUACGUAGGGGGCAAGCGUUAUCCGGCUUUACUGGGUGGAAAGGGAGCGUAGACGGCAGUGCAAGUCUGGAGUGAAAGGCGGGGGCUCAACCCCCGGACUGCUCUGGAAACUGUACGGCUGGAGUGCAGGAGAGGGAGGCGGAAUUCCUAGUGUAGCGGUGAAAUGCGUAGAUAUUAGGAGGAACACCAGUGGCGAAGGCGGCCUACUGGACUGUAACUGACGCUGAGGCACGAAAGCGUGGGGAGCAAACAGGAUUAGAUACCCGUGUAGUC